rnacentral:rRNA from 1 species
UACCACCCUUGUAUGUUUGAUGUUCUAACUUAGACCCAUUAUCUGGGUUGAGGACAGUGCCUGGUGGGUAGUUUGACUGGGGCGGUCUCCUCCCAAAGAGUAACGGAGGAGCACGAAGGUGGGCUAAUCACGGUUGGACAUCGUGAGGUUAGUGCAAUGGCAUAAGCCCGCUUAACUGCGAGAAUGACGGUUCGAGCAGGUGCGAAAGCAGGUCAUAGUGAUCCGGUGGUUCUGUAUGGAAGGGCCAUCGCUCAACGGAUAAAAGGUACUCCGGGGAUAACAGGCUGAUACCGCCCAAGAGUUCAUAUCGACGGCGGUGUUUGGCACCUCGAUGUCGGCUCAUCACAUCCUGGGGCUGAAGUCGGUCCCAAGGGUAUGGCUGUUCGCCAUUUAAAGUGGUACGCGAGCUGGGUUUAGAACGUCGUGAGACAGUUCGGUCCCUAUCUGCCGUGGGCGUUGGAAGAUUGAAGGGGGCUGCUCCUAGUACGAGAGGACCGGAGUGGACGAACCUCUGGUGUUCGGGUUGUGUCGCCAGACGCAUUGCCCGGUAGCUAAGUUCGGAAUUGAUAAGCGCUGAAAGCAUCUAAGCGCGAAGCGAGCCCUGAGAUGAGUCUUCCCUGAUACUUUAAGUAUCCUAAAGGGUUGUUCGAGACUAGAACGUUGAUAGGCAGGGUGUGUAAGCGUUGUGAGGCGUUGAGCUAACCUGUACUAAUUGCCCGUGAGGCUUAACCAUACAACACCCAAGGGGUUUUGUA